AGCGUACACGGUGGAUGCCUAGGCAAUCAGAGGCGAUGAAGGACGUGCUAAUCUGCGAUAAGCGUCGGUAAGGUGAUAUGAACCGUUAUACCCGACGAUUUCCGAAUGGGGAAACCCAGUGCAAUCCGUUGCACUAUCGUUUGAUGAAUACAUAGUCAAACGAAGCGAACCGGGGGAACUGAAACAUCUCAGUACCCCGAGGAAAAGAAAUCAACCGAGAUUCCCCUAGUAGCGGCGAGCGAACGGGGAGCAGCCCAGAGUCUUAAUCAGCAUUAGUAUCAGGAGAACGGUCUGGAAAGUCCGGCAGUAAAGGGUGAUAGCCCCGUAUCUGAAGAUAUUAGUGUUGUGAACUCGACGAGUAGGGCGGGACACGUGUUAUCCUGUCUGAAUAUGGGGGGACCAUCCUCCAAGGCUAAAUACUCCUGAUUGACCGAUAGUGAACCAGUACCGUGAGGGAAAGGCGAAAAGAACCCCGGCGAGGGGAGUGAAAUAGAACCUGAAACCGUGUACGUACAAGCAGUGGGAGCCUUGAUUUAUCAGGGUGACUGCGUACCUUUUGUAUAAUGGGUCAGCGACUUAUAUUCUGUAGCAAGGUUAACCGUAUAGGGGAGCCGUAGGGAAACCGAGUCUUAACUGGGCGAAUGAGUUGCAGGGUAUAGACCCGAAACCCGGUGAUCUAGCCAUGGGCAGGUUGAAGGUUGGGUAACACUAACUGGAGGACCGAACCGACUAAUGUUGAAAAAUUAGCGGAUGACUUGUGGCUGGGGGUGAAAGGCCAAUCAAACCGGGAGAUAGCUGGUUCUCCCCGAAAGCUAUUUAGGUAGCGCCUCGUGAACUCAUCUUCGGGGGUAGAGCACUGUUUCGACUAGGGGGUCAUCCCGACUUACCAACUCGAUGCAAACUACGAAUACCGAAGAAUGUUAUCACGGGAGACACACGGCGGGUGCUAACGUUCGUCGUGAAGAGGGAAACAACCCAGACCGCCAGCUAAGGUCCCAAAGUCAUAGUUAAGUGGGAAACGAAGUGGGAAGGCUCAGACAGCCAGGAUGUUGGCUUAGAAGCAGCCAUCAUUUAAAGAAAGCGUAAUAGCUCACUGGUCGAGUCGGCCUGCGCGGAAGAUGUAACGGGGCUAAACUAUGCACCGAAGCUGCGGCAGCGAUAUGUAAAUAUUGUUGGGUAGGGGAGCGUUCUGUAAGCCUGUGAAGGUGUACUGUGAGGUAUGCUGGAGGUAUCAGAAGUGCGAAUGCUGACAUAAGUAACGAUAAUGCGGGUGAAAAACCCGCACGCCGGAAGACCAAGGGUUCCUGUCCAACGUUAAUCGGGGCAGGGUGAGUCGACCCCUAAGGCGAGGCAGAAAUGCGUAGUCGAUGGGAAACGGGUUAAUAUUCCCGUACUGGUGAUAAUUGCGAUGGGGGGACGGAGAAGGCUAGGCUGGCCGGGCGACGGUUGUCCCGGUUUAAGGAUGUAGGCAGGUGAAUUAGGCAAAUCCGGUUCACUAUAUGCUGAGGUCUGAUGACGAGUCACUACGGUGGCGAAGUAGCUCAUGCCCCGCUUCCAGGAAAAGCCUCUAAGCUCUAGAUUAUCAUUAAUCGUACCCCAAACCGACACAGGUGGUCAGGUAGAGAAUACUCAGGCGCUUGAGAGAACUCGGGUGAAGGAACUAGGCAAAAUGGUGCCGUAACUUCGGGAGAAGGCACGCUGGCGCUAGGUGAAGUGGUUUACCCAUGGAGCUGAAGCCAGUCGCAGAUACCAGCUGGCUGCAACUGUUUAUUAAAAACACAGCACUGUGCAAACACGAAAGUGGACGUAUACGGUGUGACGCCUGCCCGGUGCUGGAAGGUUAAUUGAUGGGGUUAUCCGUAAGGAGAAGCUCUUGAUCGAAGCCCCAGUAAACGGCGGCCGUAACUAUAACGGUCCUAAGGUAGCGAAAUUCCUUGUCGGGUAAGUUCCGACCUGCACGAAUGGCGUAAUGAUGGCCAGGCUGUCUCCACCCGAGACUCAGUGAAAUUGAACUCGCUGUGAAGAUGCAGUGUACCCGCGGCAAGACGGAAAGACCCCGUGAACCUUUACUAUAGCUUGACACUGAACAUUGAGCCUUGAUGUGUAGGAUAGGUGGGAGGCUUUGAAGUGUGGACGCCAGUCUGCAUGGAGCCAACCUUGAAAUACCACCCUUUAAUGUUUGAUGUUCUAACGUUGCCCCGUUAUCCGGGGUGCGGACAGUGUCUGGUGGGUAGUUUGACUGGGGCGGUCUCCUCCCAAAGAGUAACGGAGGAGCACGAAGGUUGGCUAAGCAUGGUCGGACAUCAUGCGGUUAGUGCAAAGGCAUAAGCCAGCUUGACUGCGAGAGUGACGGCUCGAGCAGGUACGAAAGUAGGUCUUAGUGAUCCGGUGGUUCUGAAUGGAAGGGCCAUCGCUCAACGGAUAAAAGGUACUCCGGGGAUAACAGGCUGAUACCGCCCAAGAGUUCAUAUCGACGGCGGUGUUUGGCACCUCGAUGUCGGCUCAUCACAUCCUGGGGCUGAAGUAGGUCCCAAGGGUACGGCUGUUCGCCGUUUAAAGUGGUACGCGAGCUGGGUUUAGAACGUCGUGAGACAGUUCGGUCCCUAUCUGCCGUGGGCGUUGGAAGAUUGAAAGGGGCUGCUCCUAGUACGAGAGGACCGGAGUGGACGCACCACUGGUGUUCGGGUUGUCAUGCCAAUGGCAUUGCCCGGUAGCUAAGUGCGGAAGAGAUAACCGCUGAAAGCAUCUAAGCGGGAAACUUGCCUUGAGAUGAGUCUUCCCUGACCCUUUA
rnacentral:rRNA from 1 species